rnacentral:lncRNA from 1 species
CGGAUUCAUCCAAAUUUGUGAAACGUGCUGUACUGUAUACAGAAUGGAAAUCAGCUGGUUAGAUAUUGCGGCGCAUGAGAGUUGUUUAUGGACCAGAAUGUGUAAAAAAAACUGGUGCAAAAAAACUCAAAGGUACAACUGGUGCAAAAAGUUCAAAGGCAGUCUACUGCGGAUAGUCCACGUCCUGGAAGAGCAUGUUACACCAUUACUGAUGAAACUGCGACAGAAGUUUGAUAGUCUGGUGCAUUAUGUAGAGGUGUUGGACAAUCCUCCUUAUAGUCCUGGUUUUUUCCGUGCGAUUUCGCAUUUUUGAUCCUUUGAAAAAGCUCUGAACGGAUGACGAAGUGAAAGAAACAGUUAACAACUGGUUUACAUCACAGUUAACAACUGGUUUACAUCUCAGUUAAAGAAGUUUUAUGCCAAAGGAAUGAAUUCUCUCAUAUAACGUUAGGAUAAAUGUAAAUAUUUCGGGAGACUACAUUUAAUUUCAGCUAAUAGAUUCUGACAAACGAGUUUUUCAUAUUUCAUUUGAUCGCUCCUUGUAUAUUGAGUGAGCUCAGAAAAUAAAUGGCUUCAGCCAUCAUGCCUUCAACAAAUCACGUUACCUCGCAAUCUCCACGGGUCGUGACGACAUUCAGAGACUUCUUUGGAGCAUUUUUUGAACUCACAUUUUCUAUAAUUUCGAUUUUUUGAAUAUUUUGCGGUUUAUCCAAGUAAUUAUUUUCACAACUACCUCGGUUAAUUGGGCGUCUAUUGUAUUUAAAUCUAUAUAAAACUUAAUCUAUUACUAUUGUUAUCAAAUUUUUUAGAUGUAUAAAUAAUCCUAAUAAUUAACAAGAUGACUUCCUGAAAGAGAUGCAUUUAUUUAACUGGAAGAGUUAUUUGAAACAAAUUUGCAUUUUUCAAAAUUAAAAUCUGACUGAAAAAUUACAUUGCCCUAAAAAAAUUAGUGAUAAAAAGUUUGAGGA